rnacentral:lncRNA from 1 species
AUGGAUAAAGAGGAACAAGCUCCACCGUAUCCUCCUACCUCGCGGUGUUCUCUUGUUGGCGAUCCAGUUACUCCGGGUACCAGUGAUGGUGCAAAGGUAGGACCACCUCUUUCUUUGCCUAAAUUCAAACCUUUUUCUCUCUCUACCGAAGCAUCCCCCGCAGAUCGUGGAGAUUUGCGUUUAAAAUUACGGUUGGCUCGAUUACAGUUUGAGACGCAAGACAAAGCUCAAGCACGGAAGGAUGAAUUACAGCAUCAGCUCGAAGUGCACCGUAUUGACGCGGAGAUGAAAGUUAAAAUGCGGCAGUUAGAGUUGCAGGCUGUUCGAGACGAUCCAGAAAGAUCUGCUUCCCAGACAUAUGUCGAGUUUGCCAGUGAGAAGGGUAUACUUUUUGAUCGAUGGAUAAAAGCGUAUAAAGUCAAGGACUAUCAAUCUUUGUUUGAACUUUUGCUCAUUGAGGAGUUCAAGAAUUGUGUUCCUGAGCGUACUGUUUUGUACCUAAAUGAACAGAAGGUUAGUACUGUGCAACAAGCGGCUGUUCUGGCAGACGAGUAUGCAUUAAUUCAUAAACCUGUGUUUGUAAAGCGUCCGAGGGAUUUAAUGGGACAUAUUUCACAAAGGGAGAAUGAAGUUAAUUCUUUUGACUUUAAAGUCAGCCCUAAUUCAUCGAGCCUGAAAACUCGGAAGGAAUGUGGCUAUUGUCACAAAAUGGGACACAUUCUCGCUGAGUGUCGAAUUUUAAAACGAAAGCAAGAGCGUCAGGAUGGUUCAAUUCAACCUCGCGGGUCAGUUUUAGUAAAAGUUGUGUCUCAGCAGCCCACGUCCUUUGUAGCACCUGAUGAGUGUUUUCAACCUUUUGUGUUUGAGGGUUACGUAUCGUUGACUGGUCGUGCGGAGGAUCAGAAGGCUGUGAGGAUCUUGCGGGAUACGGGGGGAUCCCAGUCCUUUAUACUGUCCAACAUCUUGCCUUUGUCCGCAGAGUCCGCAUGUGAUACUAGUACUAUUGUACAGGGUAUACAAAUGGGUUUUGUAACUGUACCUCUUUAUCGUGUCUGGGUGUCGUCUGAUUUAGUCUCUGGAUGUUUUAAUGUAGCGGCUCGUUCUUCCCUACCUGUGAGAGGUAUUGAUUUUAUUAUGGGAAAUGAUCUCGCUGGAGGCAAAGUAAUGCCAGUUGUGCAUGUUGUUAAUACUCCAUGUAUUGAUCAACAACCUGAUGCGCUUGCACAACAUUUUCCAAAUGUUUUUGCUUCUAGUGUAGUUACGACGCGCGCUCAGGGAAAAAGUUUCGCGAAGGAGAAUGAAGUGAAUUUGGGUGAGUCUGUUUUUUCAGAGAUGUUUGAGAGAAAUAAACUUUCUGAAGAUUUGGAUGUUAACCCAAUCAAAAAGUCUGUUUGUCCAGAUCCUGACGUAUUUUUGCCUAUUUCGUGUGAUGUUCUUAUUGAGGCUCAGAAAAGUGAUCCUACAUUAGAGAAGUGUCGUCUCAGUGCGGACAGUGAAAAAUCACCGUCGCAUAACCAUCAGUUUUAUUGGAACAACACUGUGUUAAUGCGUAAAUGGAAUGCUCGAUUAUCGAGUGAUGAAAAUUCAGACGAUUGGAAUGUGGUCCAUCAGAUUGUGGUACCCUCGAAAUUUCGACAGUAUAUUUUGAGUUUGGCACAUGAUUAUCCUUGGUCUGGGCACCUCGGUAUAACGAAGACGUAUAAUCGGGUGCUCCAACACUUCUUCUGGCCUGGGUUGAAGACUGAUGUGUCUCAAUAUUGUAAAACUUGCCAUACAUGUCAAGUAGUAGGAAAGCCCGAUCAGAUUGUGCCACCUGCUCCACUACGUCCUAUUCCGGCUGUGGGUUAA